AUCGGAACUUGGUGGCAUUUGGUUGUGGAGUGCGCGUUAAUACUACUAACUACUUAACGUAUUUUCGUUGGCUACAAAACGAGCACGAGUGUGUUUAUAAGCACAAUCAAGUACUAACUCUCGAACCGACGACGGUGUAUUACAAGUGGAUGGAUGCGCGCGCGAUUUCUCUCUCAAUUUUGCCUGAGUGCAGCAUUAUUUACGAUUUUAAUUCGCAUACAGCAGCCGUAAUUAAAUUAACAGCAGCAGUAAACUGAACAAGUGCCCCUGAACGCAUAUGAAUGGAUUGCGCAAAAAACGAAAAAUGUUUGUCAAAAGUUGAAACGUCAAUAAAUUUCUCGAAGCAGUGGAAAUUCGCUAUUAUUCAACAAGUGCUAAUCAAAUUUGCUACAAAUAGGAUUCAACAGAAUUCGCAUUUGGAAGUUGGUGGCGAACAUAUGUAUUAAAACGAAAAUGCUGUGCAUAACUAAAUA